rnacentral:rRNA from 1 species
GAUGAACGCUGGCGGCGUGCCUAAUACAUGCAAGUCGAGCGAACGGACGAGAAGCUUGCUUCUCUGAUGUUAGCGGCGGACGGGUGAGUAACACGUGGAUAACCUACCUAUAAGACUGGGAUAACUUCGGGAAACCGGAGCUAAUACCGGAUAAUAUUUUGAACCGCAUGGUUCAAAAGUGAAAGACGGUCUUGCUGUCACUUAUAGAUGGAUCCGCGCUGCAUUAGCUAGUUGGUAAGGUAACGGCUUACCAAGGCAACGAUGCAUAGCCGACCUGAGAGGGUGAUCGGCCACACUGGAACUGAGACACGGUCCAGACUCCUACGGGAGGCAGCAGUAGGGAAUCUUCCGCAAUGGGCGAAAGCCUGACGGAGCAACGCCGCGUGAGUGAUGAAGGUCUUCGGAUCGUAAAACUCUGUUAUUAGGGAAGAACAUAUGUGUAAGUAACUGUGCACAUCUUGACGGUACCUAAUCAGAAAGCCACGGCUAACUACGUGCCAGCAGCCGCGGUAAUACGUAGGUGGCAAGCGUUAUCCGGAAUUAUUGGGCGUAAAGCGCGCGUAGGCGGUUUUUUAAGUCUGAUGUGAAAGCCCACGGCUCAACCGUGGAGGGUCAUUGGAAACUGGAAAACUUGAGUGCAGAAGAGGAAAGUGGAAUUCCAUGUGUAGCGGUGAAAUGCGCAGAGAUAUGGAGGAACACCAGUGGCGAAGGUGACUUUCUGGUCUGUAACUGACGCUGAUGUGCGAAAGCGUGGGGAUCAAACAGGAUUAGAUACCCUGGUAGUCCACGCCGUAAACGAUGAGUGCUAAGUGUUAGGGGGUUUCCGCCCCCUAGUGCUGCAGCUAACGCAUUAAGCACUCCGCCUGGGGAGUACGACCGCAAGGUUGAAACUCAAAGGAAUUGACGGGGACCCGCACAAGCGGUGGAGCAUGUGGUUUAAUUCGAAGCAACGCGAAGAACCUUACCAAAUCUUGACAUCCUUUGACAACUCUAGAGAUAGAGCCUUCCCCUUCGGGGGACAAAGUGACAGGUGGUGCAUGGUUGUCGUCAGCUCGUGUCGUGAGAUGUUGGGUUAAGUCCCGCAACGAGCGCAACCCUUAAGCUUAGUUGCCAUCAUUAAGUUGGGCACUCUAAGUUGACUGCCGGUGACAAACCGGAGGAAGGUGGGGAUGACGUCAAAUCAUCAUGCCCCUUAUGAUUUGGGCUACACACGUGCUACAAUGGACAAUACAAAGGGCAGCGAAACCGCGAGGUCAAGCAAAUCCCAUAAAGUUGUUCUCAGUUCGGAUUGUAGUCUGCAACUCGACUACAUGAAGCUGGAAUCGCUAGUAAUCGUAGAUCAGCAUGCUACGGUGAAUACGUUCCCGGGUCU